AUUGAACGCUGGCGGCAGGCCUAACACAUGCAAGUCGAGCGGAUGAAGGGAGCUUGCUCCUGGAUUCAGCGGCGGACGGGUGAGUAAUGCCUAGGAAUCUGCCUGGUCUUGGGGGAUAACGUCCGGAAACGGGCGCUAAUACCGCAUACGUCCUUAUGGAGAAAGUGGGGGAUCUUCGGACCUCACGCUAUCAGAUGAGCCUAGGUCGGAUUAGCUAGUUGGUUGGGUAAAGGCCUACCAAGGCGACGAUCCGUAACUGGUCUGAGAGGAUGAUCAGUCACACUGGAACUGAGACACGGUCCAGACUCCUACGGGAGGCAGCAGUGGGGAAUCUUGGACAAUGGGCGAAAGCCUGAUCCAGCCAUGCCGCGUGUGUGAAGAAGGUCUUCGGAUUGUAAAGCACUUUAAGUUGGGAGGAAGGGAAGUAAGUUAAUACCUUGCUGUUUUGACGUUACCAACAGAAUAAGCACCGGCUAACUUCGUG
rnacentral:rRNA from 1 species